GAACUAGAAAAAAAAAAAAAAAAACUGCUUUUUUUUUUUUCAUUUGUGAACAGGGCUUUCUCCUUACCAAGGGCAAUUCCAAUCAUGGCUUCACUAAGGUUGCCAAUUCGCUGCCCCAAUAAGACGAUUAUGAAAUUAGUUGCAUAAAAAUAUUGCAAAAUUCUUUGUAAUCCAGAAAUUUCUAGUAGGACAGUAAGAAACAAGAGAUUAAGGAACAAAAGUAUGAUCUCUUAGGAUCUCUUAAUCCCUAUCAUUUAGAUUUUUGAAUAAAAAAGAAAAUUACAUCUUAUUGAAUUCCUACUGUCUACUGU
rnacentral:misc_RNA from 1 species